GAUGAACGCUGGCGGCGUGCCUAAUACAUGCAAGUCGAACGAACAGACGAGGAGCUUGCUCCUCUCACGUUAGCGGCGGACGGGUGAGUAACACGUGUAUCACCUACCUAUAAGACUGGGAUAACUUCGGGACACCGGCGCUAAUACCGGAUAAUCUCUUGAACCGCGUGGUUCAAUAGUGAAAGACGGUUUUGCUGUCUCUUAUAGCUGGAUCCGCGCCGCAUUGGAUAGUUGGUAGGUUAACGGCUUACCACGGCAACGAUGCGUAGCCGACGGGAGAGGGUGAUAGCCCGCACGGGAAGUGAGACACGGACCAGACUACUACGGGAGGCAGCAGUAGGGAAUCGUCGGCAGUGGGGGAAAGCCUGACGGAGCAACGCCGCGUGUGUGACGAAGGUCUUCGGAUCGGAAAACUGUGUUAUGAGGGAAGAACCACUGUGGACGGAACCAUGGCCGUCUUGACGGUACCGAAUAAAGAAGCCACGGCUAACUACGUG
rnacentral:rRNA from 1 species